GAAUAGCCUACUGAUGAGUGCAUAUUUAUGCCCACAUUUAAGCUUUAAAAUUAAAAUUUUUGAUAGAAUAUUUGUGCUUAAAUGAUUGAUUUGAAGAAGAUUUGUGAUUAUUGGAUUUAGCGUGUUUGGAAAUAUAAAGGGCUUAAAAAGUGAUUUUAAUUGCAUAAAUUAUUCUUGGAUGUUCUAAUAUUUAUAUGUGCAGCUGAAAUUAUAAGUUUAUUGGUCCAAAUUACAAUUUAAAUCCCAAAAUCAGGUUUUAUUUGGAAAAUAAUGUACAGAUGGGCCAAACAGGCAGUCUUUACCCUUGCACCUCCCAAAAUUCCCUACAUACACCUCUGGCCCAACACUAAGCCAAACAGUAACCCUAUUCUGAAUACACCUCCUAAGUUUCCUACACACACCCCUCCUACCACUAAUUAAACCAGAUCCAAUCAGAACAUGCCACCUCAUCUUCUUGCCACAUCAUCAUCUUCCACACUGAAACCCUAAUUUCCCUCUGCAAUGAAACCCUAGCCGUCAACUUCUGCAAGUCGCCGUCAAUGCCGCAAGACGCCGCGACGGCCAAUCACCGAAACAGCCGCUCCCCACCAUCACGGUUUCGCAUCUCGGUGGAUCACCACGCCGUUUCUCGCCUCGACCAUCAGUGCCGCCGUUCUUUCUUCACGUCGCCAACUUCCUUCAUCUUCGUCACCUGCAAUCCAGAAAACGCAGAGAAAUCUCCAUUGCCACCGUCAUCACCGUCUCCAUUGUUGAAUUA
rnacentral:lncRNA from 1 species